rnacentral:misc_RNA from 1 species
UUUCCGUAGGUGAACCUGCGGAAGGAUCAUUAUCGAGUUCGGGUCCUCUGGGCCCAACCUCCAACCCCAUGUCUACCACUCUUGUUGCUUUGGCGGGUCGUGGCUUCACGGCCCCGCCGGCUUCGGCUGGCGAGCACCCGUCAGAGACCAUUUUUAAAAACUCUUUAAACAUGCAAGUCUGAAUUUACAAAAAAAUAGCUAAAAACUUUCAACAACGGAUCUCUUGGUUCUGGCAUCGAUGAAGAACGCAGC